AUAGCGUUCCGUCACCCCCUGGGUCCCGGAUAGCC
rnacentral:sRNA from 1 species